AUCAAAUAGCGUAUAUGUCGUCGACUCGAACUAAAACCUAUACGGAUCUCUUAUGCAACAAUACAUCAAAUGGCCUAUCACUUAUGCAAUAAUAUAUUACAAGUGUGAAAUAGAAUAUUGCUUAAGUAAAAUUCACCCAUCUGGAUCGGCUAGUUCUGGACCUGCAUAGAAAGAAGGCUUGCUUUAAGCACCUGACAAAGACCAUAUAUACAUCACAAGCAGUUUCUUUAUGGGACUUGAUGAUUAUGUACAGCGACACUUAGUUCUAACUAAAGACGAUGAACCUGUUAAUGUCGCUACUUAGAAUUCAUGCACAAAGAUUUCAAGAACUAGGCAGAUAAGGAAUAUCUUAGUAGCAAACGCAGAUGUGAUCGAACCAUAUAAAGGUUAAAGAAAAUGCACAAAUUGAUAUUUUAAAUUUCAAAAUUUAAAGACUGCAGGAGAAAUUCCAGGUGGAAAGAAUUCAAAGAUAAACAUAUUAACUAUAAAUUCUUCAAAAGAAAAUGCACUCAAAUAUAUAACUAGAGGUCAUAAGAUUGCCAUGAAUUAUUUUCACCUUUAAAGAAGAUGUGAACAAUAAGGAGAAGAUAAUAACUCACUGCCUGUUUGCUAAACUAGAUUGAUCUUCCAUGUUCAAAUCUUUGCCAACAGAACUAGGCUACAACAAUUUACAUUCACUUUUAUGGUCAUCCCAAAACCACCAAACUCAUGAUGUUAUGGUCAUUGGUCACACAUUCAAGAUUUUAUCAGAAACACCUAAAUUUAUUCUACAACCAGGCUGUUAACUCUGCAUCUAUUUUUAGCCUCCUCCCUAGAUUAUCAUUAUGCUACAGACUUGUUUAAUUUUUCUUUUUGCCAAAACCUACUUGGGCUUCAUAAUGUCUGAUUGUGUGAAUAUCAAGACUCCAUUUGCUAUAUGCUACAGACUUGUUUAAUUUUUCUUUUGCCAAAACCUACUUGGGCUUCAUAAUGUCUGAUUGUGUGAAUAUCAAGACUCCAUUUCCUAUGCUCAACCUUUACUAUAAAAUCAACCACUUAUAAACAAUAUACUAUUAGUAUCAUUAUGUAAUCCUUAUAAGAAAUCAACAAGAAGACAUGUAAAAUCUUUAUAGACCUACAACCAUAUGCUCAUUGUUGUUAAAAUUCAACUGGUUUAUUGACGUGGCACUGAUACUAGGUGAUGUCAGGUACAGAAUUUUCAAAAGAGACAAGUCAAAAUAAUUAUACUUUGUUUGACUGAUUUCUAUAACAGAAUCUAGAAUUCAGAAAAGUUGUCAUUGACCAAAUUAUCAAUCAGGCAUAGCAUGUAUUUCUACAGACCAUCAACUCCGUAGAUACCCGAAAAUGCUCUUCGAUCCUGUAGCAGAUUUUAUGUACCAAGGCAGGAGUCUCUUCUGUUCCAGUGUUGUAUCUAAAAGAUCAACAGGCCUUGUUUCUGUUGUGGAAUUGCAUGGAAUCGUGUGGUAACCUGGACUGGUUGGAUUUUGAAUCUGCCUUCAAUCUACCAAAUUUGUUGCCGUUCAGCCCCAAGUAUUAUUCUUGCUGAACGGUCUAGGUUGUAAUAUCCAGACCUUGUUAUGAAAGGACCAAGUGACUCUUCCAUACAUCUCAAUGCAUACAGAACAAGAGAACUGCACAAGUCUUUUAGGAAAAGGCACUUAUUGUGAACAUUAACCCACCUUUUGGAAUAGUUCUACAUCAAAUUCUUUCACCCAAUCGAACUGACAACAUGUUUUUUUCAUUCACAGGACUGUCUAACUACCACAUCAGGCAAAUCAUAAGAGGUAAAGUGCUUUCUAGCAACAUCUGGAUGUUAGUCAAUGAUAAGUUUUACAAGGAAGCAUAAAUAUAUACCCUACCUGCAGCCAAUAGAUGGAGUUCAGAAGUAACCUCUCUAGAAUGUAUAAAAGCCUAAAGCACAACGGUCGCAGAAAAAGGGAACACUUAGAUAAGGUCUAAGAGCCCAAAACAUGUGAGCUGUCAGUUUGAAAGAUAUCUGUAUGAACAUAAACAACCAAUCCUCCAUAAUUUAUUCAAGAAGAUAAUCAAGCAUAUGAUAGGUGGAUGUUCAUCCAUGUUUGAACUUGGUCUGAAUGUUCCGGUACAGUCAACUAAACUAAGAACAUAGGACAUUACGAGUCAUGGAAAUUUAAAUGAUAUAUUUGAAAACAUUUAACAUGGAAAACAUAUUUAUAUAUACACAUGUAAGUGUGUACAUUCAUAUAUCAGGAUGUGUGAAUAUGCAAGGAAUCAAAUUCAGUUGCAUCAGUAUAUACAAACAGGUAUCUAUUGGUCUGACCUAGUAGGUCUGGCCACAGACCAUAUAGGUUUAUACUUGUCAAUAUUCAUUUUUUUCUUUUUUUCUUAGUGAUACUGAAUGACAUCGGUCAGUAUACCACCUUACCAAAGCUGAAAUCAAGGGGAGAUCUAAAUACCUUUGUAUAUGUAUAUGUACAUAUUAUAACCAAGGGUGUCAGGUCAACUCACAAGGAUGGCCAGCUCACAACAUCUGUUGAAUGUGUAUAAGAUGCAAUCAGAAUUUGGAGGAGCACAAUGCAAAUAUCUGGAAAUAUUUAGGUAAAUUAAGACAUAGCUAAUAUUGAAAAGAUCAAACAGAUAAGUAAAUACUGGUUCCAUGACGUGUCACUAGACAAACUUUCCGAUUUGAUCAUUCUCCAUCCAGGUUGGAAGGCAGGACUAACUAACAAAAUGAAGAAAAGGAAUUAUGAUAGUGAAUCAUGAAUCUGAUGAAGGAAAGGCUCGAACAUAAUCACAAGUCUUGGUGACAGCUAUCACACAGGGUGUUCUAGGGCAACAAAGUUUCCAUAAAAAUGAAGUUAUUGCAUCAAAACAAUGAAUUAUAUUAAACAAUAAGAAAGUAGAAAAGCUAAAAGGAGUAAUGUUGAACUAGAUAGGGAGAAGAGAUAGAGCUAUCACACAAAGGAAGAGUAGGAUAAGACAAAAUAUUCAAAGUUUCACUCGAAAACUCUCUAUAAUUCCAAAAACUCUCUAUAUCUUCAAAAACUCUCUAUAUUUCAUGACCCAACACAUGGGUUUAUAUAGUCCUCAUAGAUACAUUACAUUCAUUACAUUUAAUAUGAAUCACUCUUUUCCAAAUGACUUUUUUAAGAACCAAUAGUCGAUUUGGUUUAUCCUUCUAUAAGCAUUUAAUGCGUUUCAUCUCUUGAUACAAUGAACCUCUUUAUGAUACCUUGACAAGUUUACUUCUAACAUUCUCCCCCCUUAAACUUGUUUCAUCUAACAUGCCAAGUUUCUUUCGAAGAUGUUGAAAUAUUUCAAAUUUAAGAUAUUUUGUGAGUAUAUUAGUCAUUUAUUCACUUGUCUUGAUAAUCUAGCUCUAACUUUAACCUCGUCAUUACCUUCCAAGAGUUCAGCAUUAUUGAUGCCUUCAGCACAUGCAACAACAUUAUCAUGGGUGUCAAAAGUAACAAAUCCAAAAUCUUUCCUCUUUGCAGCUGGCAUAUUACGAGCAAGCUCUACUUUCUCGAUUAUGUCAUAUUUCUUCAGGUAAUCCUUUACAAGAUCCUCAUCCCAUACAGCAGGCAAUCCAUCAAUAAAAAUAGUUUUAACCUAUGCCAUGAUUUCAUCAUCUGGCUCAAUAAAAGAAUCUGCAAGGGCAAUCUUAGCAAUGCUAUCAACUCCAAAUAUUACAUCUAUCUUCUGCAAGCACAUAUAAUCAUCCAUUGCUUUAGAGCAUGAUGAGAAAUCCAGAAACGCAAAACCACGGUUCAUUCCUAUAUUGUUGGUAUCUUCAACCAAGGUCAAAUCUUUCAUAUUUUUAACCAAGGAUUGAAAUUUCAUAUCAUACCGGAGUUUCGAGAUUUGCUCAGUAUUGUAUGGUACUAUAUACCAAGCGGUAUAUUUCAAUAUACUACUCGGUAUGUAUAUAUAUAUAUAUAUAUAUAUAUAUAUAUAUAUAUAUAUAUAUAUAUAUAUAUGUUUUCGCUGCGACGUCACCUCUCUUCUCCUCGCGGCGCCGAGGAACGCCGAGGACUCUUCUCCCACACGGAUGAGAAGUCGCCGACAUACGAGGAGGGAGAGCAACGCCGAUCUCCAGGUUCUCCUCUUCUUCUCCCUAUUCUUUCUUCCCCUUCUCCCUCUUCUUUCUUCUCCCUUGGUCACCGCCCGAUUUAAGACAAUAACGGCGCGGAAACAUCCCCAAUUAAAGGUACCGCCCGAUACCAGGCGAUACGUGUACGGACCGGUACGUAUUGCCCGGUAUAGGUAGUUUUAUUCGAAAUUAAAAACCUUGUUUUUAACUCCAUAGUUUUUUAGUUUCUCCAUAAAAUGUUCCCUUGUCCAUUACUUGCAAAUAUUACCCACAAAGAGUGCCACUGUCUUGACUUAGAGCAACACCACACUACUGACCUCUCACCGCAGGAAUCUUGAGCUUUGAAAUAGCACGAUUUUUUUCAUUCAUAGCUUGUCAUUAUUUUUCUUCUCUACAAGCUUCUUUGAAGGUUAAUGGAUCAUAUCCUGCAAAAAGACAAAAUAAAGAAAGCUUAUCAUUGUUAGUAUCAAUCCUUCAAGUCACAUCAUAUAGCUCCUGAAUCAUUCUUGUCCUUCUUACAAUCGGAAUUCUUGAAUCAUGUGACCUAGCCAAUCUAAGUGAUAAUUCAGGCAAAGACUCUUUGGUGCUUGCUUGUAUUCUAUCAUCCUCUUCUGAAGCUAUAGCUUUCUUAUGCUACUCAUCACUUUUUAAGUUCCAAAUCUGUUGUUCAUCAAAUUAAACAUCUCUUAACAUCACAAUCUUAUUUGUGACAGGAUUGUAGCGUUUAUAACCAUUGGAAUUCUUAACAUUAACUAACAAGAUGCAUUUUUGACUUUUAUCCUUAAGUUUUGUUCUCUUUUCUUCUGGUAUUUUGACAAAUGCAACAUUUUCGAAAAUUCUCAAAAGAUCGACUCUUGAUUUCUGUAAGCUCUAUACUUCUUGUGGUGUAACAUUACCAAGUUACCUUGUCGGAAACCUAUUAAGCAAAUAAAUUGCAUAAGCAACAAUAUCUCCCCAAAAUUCUUUACGAAUUCUUCUUUCCUUUAACAUGUAUCGAACAUAUUAAGUAUAGUCCUAUUUUUUCUUUUCGAGACACCAUUUUGUUGAGGUGAGUAUGGCAUGGUGAAUUAAUGUAAAAAUUUUAUUAUUUCUACAAAAACUUUCAAAUUCAUUUGAUAUAUAUUCACCACUCCUAUCUAUUCUUACAACCACUUUGUCUUUGAACCAAAUUCUGAAAUUCUUUGAAUUUGUUUAAAGCUUCUUUCUUUUCCUUUAACUCGUAAACCUAAGUUUUGCCAAUAUAAUCAUCAGUGAAGAUAAGAAAAUACCUAUUUCCUCCAAGUGAAACUAGACUGAUAGGGCCACAAACAUUCGAGUGUACUAGAUUUAAUCGAUGUCAUGCUCUUCUUGUUUUUCUUAAUUUGAAUGGCUUUCUUUCUUGCUUGCCCAUGGCACAUACUUCACAUAACUUUGAUGGACGAUCAAUUCUUGGUAAUUCUGUCACCAUAUUAUUUCUAUAAAAGUUUUAAAAUCUCAAAAUUUGAGUGAGCAUAUCUAAAAUGUCAUAACGUAGAAUCGUCCUCAAUAUUAGUUUUAAAACAAUUUGACUUAUCAAAAAUACAUAAAUGUAAAGGAAACAAUAUAUUCUCCAUCAUUUUCACAUGUGAGAUUAUUGUUUUAUCCUUAUCACGAAUUGAAUGAGUCAUAUCAUUCAUCUAAAUAUCAUAACUUUUUUUCAAGUAAUUGUCCUAAGAUCAUAAUUUUUUUUUUAUAUUAGGAACAUAAUAUACAUCUGUAAUGCAUAAUUCUUUGUCAUUAUUAAGUCCAAGAAAAAAUUUACCUUUACCUCUUACUAGUUUUUGAGACAGAUCACUAAAUGUAAUGUUGCCGAAAUAACAUAUUUAUUUCGAAAAAUAGUUCUUUGAUGCCACACAAGUGAUUUGAAGCUCCUGUAUCUAGAUACUAUGUCAUAGAUUGAUCUUUGUUCAAAUUAUCAUAAGUCAUUAACAAAAUAUGAUUUUUGUUCUUCUCUUUUUUUUCAAUAAAAUUUAUCUUAUCACCUUGAUUGUUCGGAUUAUACUAACAUUCAAAGUUGUAGUGGCCAUACCUUUUGUAAACAUAAUAUUGUAUUUCAGAUCUUUUAUAAUUUUUGUCACAUCCAUCUCCUCGAUCAUGUCCCGGAUCAUAAUCUCGGCCUCUUUGACUAUAAUUUUCUCCAUCACCUUCAUUAUUUGAGAUUCUUGAUUGGUCUGAUUUUUGUCGUCUCUUCUUCUUUGUCCACAACCUUUUCCUCUUUGAGAUUUUGAUUCACUUUUGUUUUCAAGAGUAAGUUUGGAUUGUAGUGCUUGCUCUUUAGAUUUUUCUUCUCUUUUUGUAAGCCGUUGUUCAAGAACUUGAAGAGAAUCCAUUAGUUGUUCUGAAGAUAUUUGUUCUAAAUAUUUAGACUCUUCAAUUGCUACAGCAAUAAAAUCAAACUUUGGAUCUAGAGAUCUUAGUUUCACCAUUUAGUCUCAUUUGAUGAAUAAUAAAAAUGAUUUUUGAUAAGUAAUCAAGAAUAAAUUCAAAAGUACCUUGCUGUAAUGUUUCAAACUCAGCUCAUAAAACUUGUAGACGAAGCUUUUUUAUCUUGUCCACACUACUGAAUACUUUUUAAAAUAUUUCCCAAGCCUCUUUUAAAGUAUUUGCUGGAGCGAUGAUCUCGAAUAUUAUAUCAUUAAGCCCUUGAUAAAUCAUGAACAAAGCUUUUUUCUCCUUCUUUCUUUUAUCUUUGAGUUGUUUUCUUACUUCUGCAUUCAUUGCUUCUUCUUCUAUCGGACUUGGUUCAACAAAUCCAUCUUUUACAAAUUUUUAUACAUCUUGGGAGCCUAAAAGAACCUUCAUUUGGAUGCACCAUAUAUCAUAAUUUUCUUUUAUCAACGUAAGGAUCUAGAGUUAGAUGUGGCUUGAGGAAGAGGUCAUAACUUAACUUGAGCUCUGAUAUUAAAUGUUUAACUAGAUAAGGAGAAGAGAUAGAGCUAUCACACAAAGGAAGAGUAGCACAAGACAAAAUAUUUUAUGUUUAACUCAAAAACUCUCUACAACUUCAAAAACUCUAUAUAACUUCAAAAACUCUCUAUGUUUCAUGACCCAACACAUGGGGUUUUUACAAUUCCCAUAGAUACAUUGCAUUCAUUAUAUUUAAUAUGAAUCACUCUUUUUCAAGAGACUCUUUUAAGAACCAAUAGUCAAUUUGGUUUAUCCUUCUAUAGGCAUUUAAUAUGUUUCACCUCCUGAUACAAUAAACCUCUUUAUGAUAUCUUGACAAGUUUAAUUCCAACAAGUAGUCUGUUCCAUCAUGAGUAUCUCAGUCUGCUUGGUAAUUGGAGGACAUUUUUUUUGUUUCUCUUCUCCAUCCAGAUUCGAGCCCUUUGCCUACCAUGAUGUAGGUAGUAAUACUUCUAACAAGGUGGAGGAAUCCAAAUGAUUUGGUGUACACUUGACACCUCCAACAAUAAGAUGAAAUUUUGCCAUUGCAUGAUGAUAUUGCACACCACCAUAAAGAUGUAAUCCAACAUUAUGAGAAGAAUAUGUCAUCAGGAAAUGACUUGUGGAAGUCAAGUGAAGCUGGAACGAAGCAACAUAUCAGAAUACUAUUACAGAUAAACUUACAUACCGAUGGUAUUGAGUUCCGGAUGAAGUAAAUGGUAAUACCUUUAAAGGCUAGUAGUGCUAGUCAGCUCUAGUCAGAUUUCACCCUGCAUGGAGAGCUAGCAUGCUUGUGAAGCAUACACUAAGCAACCCAGUUUGAAAUCCAUCUAGUAUAAAAAUUACCAAAAAGUUGUGACUCCACACACAUUUAAAUAUAUAUUAAGGGUAGCAUAUAUAGGAUCAGAAUUUUAAAACCCCAGCAUCCAUCUCCUAUCUUUCCCUCUCCCCUGCCCCCAUUUCACCUCCUUUCUAUCAGCAUGCAUGUUUGAUUUUGCAUACUCAUACUGAAUGCAUCUUACUAUACUUAUCUGUUGAAGAAUUAAUAGCAGACAAGAUGUUAACAUUAGUAACUACUUAUGUUACUUCAUUUACAUAAAGGUUUCAAAUACUAAGGAUCAUUACCAGUUCAUAUCAGUACCAAUAGGUAUCUAUUCUUUUGUCUGAUGAUACCAAAUGGCGCAUAUUGGAAUUCCGUUCCGUACAACAAUAAUGUAUCAUUCCAACCAAAACUAUUAUCAGGCAGAGAUUUAAACCUUUAAUUUAAUGUACAUAUUAAAGGUAUCGUCUCGCUUUCUCUAUCUUUUCGUAAAGAAGGAACGAGGAAAUCUUACUCAUCGUUGAUGGCGAUGAAUGUUGAGACGAUCUCGACCCUGGAGUGGUGCACUCGAUCAUAUCGAGGGCUUUCUUUGGGUUCUUGGAGGUCUUAGUCUCCCCUUAUCCGUAUUCACAGAAGAUCGAGCGAAAAAUCUUCCUUCUUAUGGACGGCCGUGGCGAACGUUGCGGAAAUCCCCGGAACGCUGCAAUUGAUCGUUGCGGGUUUCCUUCCGAUUCUUGGAGGCCUUCGUCUUCUUCCAUCUCCAAAAGAACGAGCGACCAAUCGACCGAUGGUGGUGGAGAAUCUCGCGGCGGUGGCGACCCCUGGAGUGGUGCCAUCGAUCAUUAAGGUCUCUGCGUCUCUCUAUCUCACUUCUCUUCUCUAAAUGAACCAGCGAGGAAUCUUGCAAUCUCGAUCCGGAAGAGAUGCAGUUGAUCGAAAUGGGUUUUCUUUCGGUGCUUGGAGGUCUUCCUCUCCUUUCCCCUCCCUCCCUGCAGAAGGACGAGCGAGAAAUGUUGUCGAUUGACGCGGUGGUGACCCAACCCAAUCCGAACCAACUCGAGUCUACUUGAACAAGCCCAACCCAGCCUCAAUCAU
rnacentral:lncRNA from 1 species